CAUGAACGUUGGCGGCGUGGAUUAGGCAUGCAAGUCGAGCGCGAUGAGUUUGGUAGCUUGCUAUUGAACUCGGAAAGCGGCGAAAGGGAGAGUAACGCGUAGUUACGUGCCCCAGGGUUCGGAAUAGCCACGGGAAACUGUGGGUAAUGCCGAAUAACAUCUCCGGAUCAAAGGUGUGAUUCCGCCCUGGGAGCGGACUGCGUCCUACCAGCUAGUUGGCGGGGUAAUGGCCCACCAAGGCAACAGUGGGUAGCGGGUGUGAGAGCAUGACCCGUCUCACUGGGACUGAGACACUGCCCAGACACCUACGGGUGGCUGCAGUCGAGAAUCUUCGGCAAUGGGCGAAAGCCUGACCGAGCGACGCCGCGUGCGGGAUGAAGGCCCUCGGGUUGUAAACCGCUGUCGUAGGGGAGGAAGGCUCUGUGAAGAACAGGGUUUGACCUAUCCUAGGAGGAAGUACGGGCUAAGUUCGUGCCAGCCGCCGCAGUAACAC
rnacentral:rRNA from 1 species